rnacentral:rRNA from 1 species
CCUACGGGCGGCAGCAGUCGAGAAUCAUUCACAAUGGGGGAAACCCUGAUGGUGCGACGCCGCGUGGGGGAAUGAAGGUCUUCGGAUUGUAAACCCCUGUCAUGUGGGAGCAAAUUAAAAAGAUAGUACCACAAGAGGAAGAGACGGCUAACUCUGUGCCAGCAGCCGCGGUAAUACAGAGGUCUCAAGCGUUGUUCGGAAUCACUGGGCGUAAAGCGUGCGUAGGCUGUUUCGUAAGUCGUGUGUGAAAGGCGCGGGCUCAACCCGCGGACGGCACAUGAUACUGCGAGACUAGAGUAAGGGAGUGGGAACCGGAAUUCUCGGUGUAGCAGUGAAAUGCGUAGAUAUCGAGAGGAACACUCGUGGCGAAGGCGGGUUCCUGGACAUUAACUGACGCUGAGGCACGAAGGCCAGGGGAGCGAAAGGGAUUAGAUACCCGAGUAGUC